rnacentral:rRNA from 1 species
AGUGAACGCUGGCGGUAGGCCUAACACAUGCAAGUCGAACGGCAGCACAGUAAGAGCUUGCUCUUACGGGUGGCGAGUGGCGGACGGGUGAGGAAUACAUCGGAAUCUACUUUUUCGUGGGGGAUAACGUAGGGAAACUUACGCUAAUACCGCAUACGACCUACGGGUGAAAGCAGGGGAUCUUCGGACCUUGCGCGAUUGAAUGAGCCGAUGUCGGAUUAGCUAGUUGGCGGGGUAAAGGCCCACCAAGGCGACGAUCCGUAGCUGGUCUGCGAGGAUGAUCAGCCACACUGGAACUGAGACACGGUCCAGACUCCUACGGGAGGCAGCAGUGGGGAAUAUUGGACAAAGGGCGCAAGCCUGAUCCAGCCAUACCGCGUGGGUGAAGAAGGCCUUCGGGUUGUAAAGCCCUUUUGUUGGGAAAGAAAAGCAGCAGGUUAAUACCCCGCUGUUCUGACGGUACCCAAAGAAUAAGCACCGGCUAACUUCGUG